CGAGACACGCUGGCGGCGUGCCUGACACAUGCAAGUCGGACGGUUCUUGUACCUUCAAGCUUGCUUGUUGGUGCAAGGAUAGUGGCGGACGGGUGAGUAACGCGUGAACAUCUACCCAUUGGAGGGGGACAACCCGUCGAAAGGCGGGCUAAUACCGCGUAAGCCGCGAGGUGAGAGGCUGCCUAUUGGUGGCCGCCGAUGGAUGGGUUCGCGUCCUAUCAGCUGGUUGGUGGGGUAACGGCCUACCAAGGCGAAGACGGGUAGCCGGUCUGAGAGGAUGGCCGGCCACACUGGAACUGAGACACGGUCCAGACUCCUACGGGAGGCAGCAGUGAGGAAUCUUGCGCAAUGGGGGAAACCCUGACGCAGCAACGCCGCGUGAGUGAGGAAGGCCUUCGGGUCGUAAAGCUCUGUCAGAUGGGAAGAAAUGGAUGGGGGCUAAUAUCGCCCAUCCUUGACGGUACCAUCAGAGGAAGCACCGGCUAACUCCGUG
rnacentral:rRNA from 1 species